UGGAAGCUUGCUUCUAUCAAUCUUAGUGGCGAACGGGUGAGUAACGCGUAAUCAACCUGCCCUUCAGAGGGGGACAACAGUUGGAAACGACUGCUAAUACCGCAUACGAUCCAAYCUCGGCAUCGAGGAUGGAUGAAAGGUGGCCUCUAUUUAUAAGCUAUCACUGAAGGAGGGGAUUGCGUCUGAUUAGCUAGUUGGAGGGGUAACGGCCCACCAAGGCAAUGAUCAGUAGCCGGUCUGAGAGGAUGAACGGCCACAUUGGGACUGAGACACGGCCCAGACUCCUACGGGAGGCAGCAGUGGGGAAUCUUCCGCAAUGGACGAAAGUCUGACGGAGCAACGCCGCGUGAGUGAUGACGGCCUUCGGGUUGUAAAGCUCUGUUAAUCGGGACGAAAGGUCYUCUUGCGAAUAGUUAGAAGAAUUGACGGUACCGGAAUAGAAAGCCACGGCUAACUACGUGCCAGCAGCCGCGGUAAUACGUAGGUGGCAAGCGUUGUCCGGAAUUAUUGGGCGUAAAGCGCGCGCAGGCGGAUCAGUCAGUCUGUCUUAAAAGUUCGGGGCUUAACCCCGUGAUGGGAUGGAAACUGCUGAUCUAGAGUAUCGGAGAGGAAAGUGGAAUUCCUAGUGUAGCGGUGAAAUGCGUAGAUAUUAG
rnacentral:rRNA from 1 species